rnacentral:lncRNA from 1 species
UUUUUUUUCCCAGGACAGGUCAAUCCCCGCAUCUUUCUUAAAAUUAGAUAGGCUCCUGGGUGUCUUUGCUAUUUCAUAGGUCAAAGGUCAAUUUGACAGAAGUAAAUCAACCCAUUAAAGUAUUAAUUUAACUUUUUUUUACAACCUGUUACAAGUCUGGGGAUUUCUCAGCACGAAAGGGAAGUUUUAUACUUUCCUUUUUGAAGGUUUUAACGUUUGAGGGACUUUUUUAAUAUCCAGCUACAGGGGUUUAAUGAUCAGGCUGAUAUCUGUUCACAUCUGACUAUUUUGUCUUCCACACUUCUCACCGGGGGAAAGAAAAUCAAUUCAGAGUAGCCUCAAAUUCAAAAAUGCAUCAACAAAACCUGAUGUUCGAAAUUAAAGGAAAGCACUCGAAUUCUUUAGUUUCACGGACUUGGGAUUUUCCAGCUUCGGUCUUCUGAUGCGACUCCAAGCAGCUGCCGAAGUGCUGAUGUUUGUUCUACCUAAAACUGACUCACACUGACGGAGACGCAGACAGUGCAGAGUGCACCUUUGAACUGAAACACCACGAUGGCUUGUUAACUUUCAGUUUUACGAGCUUGCGUGUGUGACAACUGUUGCCGAGAGUCGGCUGGGAAGCAAGCAGGUGAGGACAUAAAAUAAAAAGAAAGAAAGAAAGUUCAGAGGGAAAUUUUGGAUUUUGUCAGGUCUGAUCCCUGCUUGGUACAUUCAUCGUCCAGGCCCAAACCAUCGAGGAAUGGAGGGGCCCCGGAGCUCAGCCAAGUUUAAUGCCAACCUACUGCUCUCCCUCCGAAAGUUCCCACUUGCCUCCAGGCUCACCGACAUCUGCCACCAAUUUACCAGAACACGCCUGUCCUGGAUGCGACUAUUAACCAGAGCCCGCCUUGCCUCCUCUGGGCUGCAGCACUCACCACUAACCAGGGCUGAAGGAUGAGCCGCAGGUCCGAGCCCUUUCCAGACUGGCCUAACGUGGAAAGAACACGACUGCAGCAGGCCUGUAAUUUCAAGUGGCCGCGAGCUUUAAUCAUAUCUUGAUCUACAUCCUUUAUCCCUGCGCCCGUCGGUGGCCCGAUGCUAAUUUGAGACGUCGGGUGCCUAAAGGUUUCUCCCUGACCGUUGUCCCAUGUUGGGUGCCAUUUUCACAUUUUGGAGAUGUCUGUGUAAAAAGCAAACGAACCAGAUGGAAGAAAAGGACUCUUACGUAGAUCUGCAGGCUUUGUCUGUGAAACCAGAAAACAGCCAAAUAAGGGUUGAAUAAUAUAGUCAAUAUAUAUCACUUACAUUUAAUAUUGUAGUUGUGAUUUAUUAGAUCUAUCCAAAGGCACAGAAACCCAACACGGUCAAAGCUUAAGUUACAUUCUGGAUUUUCUGCUGUCGAGCAAGGCACCGCCUUCAUGCUCUGUGGAACCAUGGGCUGAGAGGGGGUUUGUGCAAAGUCAAAAACUCUCCUCUGCUUAAAAUCUAUUUAUUGUUUUUUAAUAAUAAAUUGUAACAAGUUGUAGUCUUGGGAGCACACUG